UAAAGAAACAUUGGCUAGAGAAACCAAAUGAAUCAUAAGUUGGCUUAAUUUAUUUAGUAAAUGGCUGUUUAGACAUACAUUAGCCUAUAUUGCCAAAAGUAUUGGCACCCCUUCUAAUGACCUACUUUAGUAAUUUCCAUGAAUACAGAUCUUAGUGUUUGAGCAUAUAAUGAUAUUCUGGGGAAUUGUGUGCUUCUAAAUUUAUAGCAAACGUUAUUAUCACCAUUUCCAUCCAAUGAUUCAAAGAGAACAAAAUCGUCACUUUCAUGACAUUUCCAUCCAGCGUUUUUUUGUUUUGUUGGAUUUUUCAUCCAAAAUGCGCAUAAAAGUAGGUGGAUGGAAACAUAGCUUCAUUCUCACUCCCAACUCCGGACCCUUUAGCAUAAAUUUUCAUUGCGCAGAGUCCUCCAUUGCUUUAAAUAAGAAACCUUUGGGAUCAAUAUACUGACUUAAAAGGCACUGGGAAUUUUAUCUUCAUUAUUAAAUUAUACCCUCAAAAGAUUAUUUAAAGCUAUUUUGUGUUUAAAUUAGAAAGUAUUAAUAGACAUUACAAAUAGUAGCCUUAGAAAGAAAUAUUUGAUUUGAUUCUACUAGUGUUGUCACGAUACCAAAAUUAUUGUUACAACAGCAUAAAAAGACGUAAAAGAAGAUAAAUUGAGAAUGUAUUGUUUCGUUUAUGCAAUGAAAGUCAUUGGUAACCAAAACAGUCUUCAAAAUACCUUCUUUCAUGUUCCACAAAAGA